rnacentral:ncRNA from 2 species
GAAUAUUUCGAGUUAAAAGGUGCCUAAGCUUAGGCAUAAUAGGGAAUCUGGUGAAAUUCCAGAACUGUCCUCGCAACUGUAAGUGUGGACGAAAUGAGAGAUUCCACUGUGUUGAUUCAAACAUGGGAAGGUCUCAGAGUAGGACGAUACACAAGUCAGGAGACCUGCCUUUGCUCGAUCGAGUUU